GGAACAAAUAACGGGGAUCAGAGAGCAAGAGUAAGCAAUAAGGAAAUCUUCACUGUAAAUUUCCUUCAGAAACCACAUAACCUGGGGAACCUCAACAUAAAGAGUCUUUGGGCACAUCUGCUGUUAUAUUUUGGCACAUAAGCCUCUCUUCCUUGUCUGGAGAGAUUCUCUGCUUCACUCUGAACGGUUCUCCUUACAACUGAUGAACAAUCAGAACACAAAAUAUGCUGCUGGGCACAGAUCCCAGCUCUGAGGCAGAAGCCAUGUCUCCCUCUGACAAUGUGGCCUGUGGAAGAGUAACCUGGUGCUGGACACACAUGAAGCUGAAGCAUGGGCUCCUGUAUCAUCCUCCACCUUCACUGGAUGAUUUACAGUGUCACCUAAUUUAAACUUGCAGGACAGCUGAGAGACUUCAUGCCUAAGGACAAUUACCUUGUAUUGACAAUGACUUAUAUUGAAGAAGCCUUGCUCUGAAGGAAUAAAGAAUUUCUCCAUUGUGCACACGUUCUUGCACAAAAGAUUUACGUUUAUCUACAAAAGUUUAGACUCCAGUAAAUAGGGACUACGCAGUGGAUCUGCCCUUACAAAGGUGUGUAACAGCACUCCAAUCUACUGGUUAGUACCCAAACUAAGAGCCCUCCAUAAUCUGCUUCAGGCCCUGUUUUCCACUCACUCCUCUCUUUUGAAUAUUCCCAAGUUUCUCUUUCAAUGUAUCUUCCCAAGAUUGCAGAGGGCUGCCAGUCCUCAAAUAUGACCCAUCUCAGGCACAGGCCAGGUGGCCUGGAGCAUUUGUCCUCCUCUGGAAUAGGAGGCACCUGGAACAACCUAGGCUUGCUGACCCCAAAGCAGCAGCAGCUUCUUCGUGAAACAAUGACCUUGUUGGAGCUUUUAAUCAAACCCGCGUCAUGGCAGCAUGGGGAUGGAGAUCUUUCAAGCAGUUCCUUUUCCUAAUUUUUUAAGGAAACAGACAGUUAAAAUGACUUUUGCUGAAACUACUUUAAGCUGUUGCAGGUGAAUUGUACUGUACACAAUGCAGCUGGUUGUGCUGUGCACUGAUUUAGAUACUCAUCCUGAAUAUAAAAUGUAUUACAAUAGGCUUCCCUGAACAUGGAAGUGGAAACCUGAGGUGCCAGAAUGUGAGUCUUAAUGAAUGCUGCCACACUGCACAACCCACACCUAUGGUGCUUCUGUUCCCACCAGCCAGACACCCUCCUUUCUGCCUUACUGAAUUGAAUUUCAGCCUAUUAGGCUCAAGACUCAAGCAAAAGAGAUUUAAAGAAAGUUACUUAAUAUUAAUUUGAAUGACAAAGUAUUCCAUUAAUGGGGAAAAAAAUCAGUAAUGGUAAUGUGCAAUAUUUUACUUAAUAAGUGCUGGAUGAGUAAUGAAAAAAUGUUCAAUAUCUUAUUCUGAAAAAUUCUAAAGUCUUUCUAAUGAUUUGUUUGGUAAAUAUAUCAGUAGAUUUUCCAAACAAUCUCACAGUAACUAACUAACUAACUAACUAAAUAAAUAAAUAAAAUACCCAAAGUACUUUUAAACAAUUCAUACAAAAUGUAAGAAAAUAUAUUAAAUUUAUAAUUUGAUGAGCAAUAUAAUGAGACAUCAACAAAAGCCAUUGUAUUGUGUGAACAUGGAGAGUUAUGAAGUAUGACUGGGUUGUUACUAAUUAAAUUUUAAUGGUUAAUGUAGAGUUUCUCUCUUUCUUUGGACACUAGUAAAUGUGUUUUAGAAUAUGUUUGUUGUUCAAGAUAUUUGAAGACU